rnacentral:sRNA from 1 species
UUUUUGGUAUUUUUUUU